rnacentral:rRNA from 1 species
AUUGAACGCUGGCGGCAGGCCUAACACAUGCAAGUCGAGCGGAUGAAGGGAGCUUGCUCCUGGAUUCAGCGGCGGACGGGUGAGUAAUGCCUAGGAAUCUGCCUGGUAGUGGGGGAUAACGUCCGGAAACGGGCGCUAAUACCGCAUACGUCCUGAGGGAGAAAGUGGGGGAUCUUCGGACCUCACGCUAUCAGAUGAGCCUAGGUCGGAUUAGCUAGUUGGUGGGGUAAAGGCCUACCAAGGCGACGAUCCGUAACUGGUCUGAGAGGAUGAUCAGUCACACUGGAACUGAGACACGGUCCAGACUCCUACGGGAGGCAGCAGUGGGAAAUAUUGGACAAUGGGCGAAAGCCUGAUCCAGCCAUGCUGCGUGUGUGAAGAAGGUCUUCGGAUUGUAAAGCACUUUAAGUUGGGAGGAAGGGCAGUAAGUUAAUACCUUGCUGUUUUGACGUUACCAACAGAAUAAGCACCGGCUAACUUCGUG